rnacentral:tRNA from 1 species
GCCAUCAUAGCUCAAAUGGCAGAGCAGCCGUCUUGUAAUCGGCAGGUUCGGGGUUCAAGUCCCCGCGGUGGCUCCA